GUCUUCAACUUUCAAUUCAGUGAUCCAUUCAUUAGCUCAAAUUUUUUCCCAAAAGCCUCGACACAGCUAACUAUUGUUCCGAAAAUCCUGCCUAUUGUCAUCUUAAAGCACCCAUGCCUUUUCCAUUCUCCUUCGUUUUCAACAGCAGACGCACAACUCCAACAAUAUUUACCCAGAAAAGAACUAACCCAAUUUCCAAAUCUUCCGCUUAAAUUUCCUCUUUUCUACCUCAAAUUCGUACAGCAAGAGCGUGCUUGGCAUGAGACCAAACACACGCGGAGCUUCCGGAGGCAACCAUGUGGCAUCCGAAUGAGUCCGAUGGACUCCCCUCUCUUGCAUUUCCCUCUUCUUCAAGUUGACCUCCAUUCGAGUCAUGAAAGGGAAGCAUUAAUUAAUGGGUCAAAACCCAAAUCAGUUGCAGCAACUAAGUGGCGCAGUAAUAAAAAUUCAAACGGCUGGAAAUUGAAUUUUGGAUUUAAGAAUCCAAUUUGAUUGUUGCAGUAGUAGCAGCAGACCCAAGGGGACUAAAAUUGAAUCUUUGGACUUAAAUAAUUACUACUUGAGUAACCAGCAGUAGCAGGAGGAACCAGAAAGGGGCCAAAAUGCCCUUUUCAUCCGGUUACUUUAUUUCAUUGUUUUUCACUCUAUUUGUGAAUAUAUCUUGGUAAUCAAUAACUUUUAAUAUUUUAUUUUUGUCAACUUAAAUGAAUCCUUGAAGAAGUUUUUCUA